rnacentral:rRNA from 1 species
UACGUGGGGGGCAAGCGUUGUUCGGAAUUAUUGGGCGUAAAGGGCGCGUAGGCGGUUUUACAAGUCUGAUGUGAAAUCUCUGGGCUCAACCCAGAGUCUGCAUUAGAAACUGUCGGGCUUGAGUAUGGGAGAGGUGAGUGGAAUUUCCGGUGUAGCGGUGAAAUGCGUAGAUAUCGGAAGGAACACCUGUGGCGAAAGCGGCUCACUGGACCAUAACUGACGCUGAGGCGCGAAAGCUAGGGGAGCAAACGGG